rnacentral:rRNA from 1 species
CCGCGUGUCUGAAGAAGGCCUUCGGGUUGUAAAGGACUUUUGUCAGGGAGCAAAACUUACUGGUUAAUACCUGGUGAGGUUGAGAGUACCUGAAGAAUAAGCACCGGCUAACUACGUGCCAGCAGCCGCGGUAAUACGUAGGGUGCAAGCGUUAAUCGGAAUUACUGGGCGUAAAGCGUGCGCAGGCGGACUUUUAAGCCAGAUGUGAAAGCCCCGAGCUUAACUUGGGAAUUGCGUUUGGAACUGGGAGUCUAGAGUCUGUCAGAGGGGGAUGGAAUUCCACGUGUAGCAGUGAAAUGCGUAGAGAUGUGGAGGAACACCGAUGGCGAAGGCAGUCCCCUGGGAUAAGACUGACGCUCAUGCACGAAAGCGUGGGGAGCAAACAGGAUUAGAUACCCUGGUAGUCCACGCCCUAAACGAUGUCUACUAGUUGUUGGGGUAGCAAUACCUCAGUGACGCAGCUAACGCGUGAAGUAGACCGCCUGGGGAGUACGGUCGCAAGAUUAAAACUCAAAGGAAUUGACGGG